GAAAAAUAGGGAUCACCCAGAAGAAGACAAGUUCACGAUGCAGAAGUGGGACAAGACAGACAGGAGGACGACAAUCAAAGUGAAACCAGACGACAUCGAAUAAACAUCUGGAUUUUUUUUUCUGUUACUCAUCCACCUAAUGCAAAAGAUUUUUUUCUUUCUUUUAGGGGGUAGAUUUGAGCUCAGAUAAAAACAGAGAGAAAGAAAGAAAAAAAGAACCAGGUCAGUUUAGAGACUUUAUCAUUUCAGGGUGACUUCACCUCAUCUUUAAGUGAGAGGUAGAGAAACUCAUUUCAGACAUCUUGUUCUUUUUGUUUCUACCAACAGCUCAUGACUAAAGGUUAGAACAA